UAUGGCCAUAUCAUAUUGAAAUGCCGGUUAUUGUAUGAUCACUGGAGUUAAGCAAGGUUGAGUCUGAUCAGUAACUAGAUGGGUGACCGCCUGGGAAUACCAGGUGCUGCAAGC